AUUGAACGCUGGCGGCAUGCCUUACACAUGCAAGUCGAACGGCAGCACGGGUGCUUGCACCUGGUGGCGAGUGGCGAACGGGUGAGUAAUACAUCGGAACAUGUCCUGUAGUGGGGGAUAGCCCGGCGAAAGCCGGAUUAAUACCGCAUACGAUCUACGGAUGAAGGCGGGGGACCUUCGGGCCUCGCGCUAUAGGGUUGGCCGAUGGCUGAUUAGCUAGUUGGUGGGGUAAAGGCCUACCAAGGCGACGAUCAGUAGCUGGUCUGAGAGGACGACCAGCACACCUGGACUUGAGCCAGGGCCAAGCCUCCUACGGAAGGCAGAGGUGGGAAAUUUUGACAAAGGGGCGAAACCCUAUCCAACCAUUGCGGCGUGGGUGAAGAGGCCUUCCGGGUUGAAAAGACCUUUGGCCGGGAAAGAAACCCUUGGCCUUAUACGGUCGGGGGAUGACGGUACCGGAAGAAUAAGCACCGGCUAACUACGUG
rnacentral:rRNA from 1 species